rnacentral:rRNA from 1 species
GGAGGGGUAACGGCCCACCAAGCCUAUGAUCGGUAGCCGACCUGAGAGGGUGAUCGGCCACAUUGGAACUGAGAUACGGUCUAAACUCCUACGGGAGGCAGCAGUGGGGAAUAUUGGGCAAUGGGGGAAACCCUGACCCAGCAACGCCGCGUGAAGGAAGAAGGUUUUCGGAUUGUAAACUUCUGUCCUUGGUGAAGAGAAGAAGACGGUAGCCAAGGAGGAAGCCCCGGCUAACUACGUGCCAGCAGCCGCGGUAAUACGUAGGGGGCAAGCGUUGUCCGGAAUGAUUGGGCGUAAAGGGCGCGUAGGCGGCUUUAUAAGUCUGGAGUGAAAGUCCUCUUUUCAAGGGAGGAAUUGCUUUGGAAACUAUAGAGCUUGAGUGCAGGAGAGGUUAUCGGAAUUCCCGGUGUAGCGGUGAAAUGCGUAGAUAUCGGGAGGAACAUCGGUGGCGAAGGCGGGUAACUGGACUGCAACUGACGCUGAGGCGCGAAAGUGUGGGGAGCAAACAGGAUUAGAUACCCUGGUAGUCCACACGGUAAACGAUGAAUGCUAGGUGUAGGAGGUAUCGACCCCUUCUGUGCCGCAG